AUCCUUCUGUGGUUCAUGAGCAUGAUGACUGGGUUUUCACACUAUGGUGUGAGGUGUGCCUCCCUCAAACCUUGUGACAUCAGUAUUUUACCCUCUAACA